rnacentral:rRNA from 1 species
GCGAACGCUGCGGCAGGCUUAACACAUGCAAGUCGAGCGGGCGUAGCAAUACGUCAGCGGCAGACGGGAGAGUAACACGUGGGAACGCGCCCUUCGGUUCGGAAUAACUCAGGGAAACUUGAGCUAAUACCGGAUACGCCCUAACGGGGAAAGAUUUAUCGCCGAAGGAACGGCCCGCGUCGGAUUAGCUAGUUGGUGAGGUAAUGGCUCACCAAGGCGACGAUCCGUAGCUGGUCUGAGAGGAUGACCAGCCUUACUGGGACUGAGACACGGCCCAGACUCCUACGGGAGGCAGCAGUGGGGAAUAUUGGACAAUGGGCGCAAGCCUGAUCCAGCCAUGCCGCGUGGAUGAUGAAGGCCUUAGGGUUGUAAAGUCCUUUUAACGGGGAAGAUAAUGACGGUACCCGUAGAAUAAGCCCCGGCAA